AUGGUGCAUCGUGGGCUCAAAGAGGAUGUACAACCCAGUUCAAUAGGCGUGAUUUGGAAGAUUCAAUUAAAUGCUGCAGUGAAAGCUUCAGAUCACGCAGGCUUGGGGCUCUUAAUCUACACAUUAUCUUCUACAAAUUCGAAGCGAGAAAAGCGAAGCAGAUGGCCAAGAAAUCUAGAGACCCUUGAUAAGGCUCUUAUACAGAAGCAAAAGAUUGAAGAUGAAGAUGAUUGA
rnacentral:lncRNA from 1 species